AUAUUAUAUGAAUAUACACACUCUCAGGUACAUUUUUUGUGUUUUAUACAAAUCUGUGGGUUGUUUUUUUAAAAAAAAAAAAUUAACAUUUUAAUCUUAAAGCAGCGACUCUUUGGACAUGCUCUUUGAACAUACAAGUAUGUGUGUUCCUUCACCCCACCCCAAUCUCCCAGCUGCUUCUUGAUUUUUGGUUCUGCAGCAUCUACUACUUCUGCCUAUUUCUUAAAAAAAAAAAAAAAAAUCAUCUGUCUUCUAGUCUCCCCCUCCACAUUCCUAUCAUAUGACCUCCACCCCAUAAAGCAGGUUAAGUCAUGAUGUAAAAGGUCAUGACUGUCUGUCAAAGGUAAACCUGGAGCAAGCAUGGCCAAAGAGUUGUUAAGCUUGAUUCCCUGCCCCCCCCCUCGGGACCAGCAGCUAGAGAACACUGGGCCAAAUUGGUUAAACCAUGGUGCUGAGAAUGCAAAUGUUGCAAGUUCGACCCCUGUAUGGGACAGCUGCAUAUUCUUGCAUUGCAGGGGUUGGAAUAGAUUGUCCUCAGGGUAUCUUCCAACUCUACAAUUGUAUGAUUCUAUAAAAUCCUAAGAACAGAAGAGCCUGCUGGAUCAGACUAGUGCCCUGUCUAGUCCAUCAACUUGUUCUCACGGUGGCCACCUACAUUGCUGUGGGAAGCCAGCAAGCAAGACCAGAGCCCAACAGCACUCUGAGGCAUACCCACCUCUGACAGUGGAGGCAGAAAAUAUACAUUGCGGCUGGUAGCCAUGGAGAACCUUAUCCUCCAUGAAUUUUUCUGAUCCUCUUUGAAAGCCAUCAUAGAAUCAUAGAGUUGGAAGAGACCACAAGGGCCAUCGAGUCCAACCCCCUGCCAAGCAGGAAACACCCUCAGAGCACUCCUGACAUAUGGUUGUCAAGCCUCUGCUUAACGACCUCCAAAGAAGGAGACUCCACCACACUCCUUGGCAGCAAAGUUGGCCACCAUCACUAAAAACUGUCCUGAAUCUUCCAACAUUUAGCUUCAUUGGAUAAAAAUCCAGCUACCCGAAGAGCUCUGGUUUCCUCACUCAGAGGCAAGAAGGCUACAUGUAAAGGGGGGCAUUGUGAAGACAACCGGACUUGCUGUCUGUCUGGUGGCCCUUGGCUCACCACCCUCUACCCCUUCUCAUUAACCCAUUAGCAUUCUUAAGCCUUCAUCUCUCUUCUUCUACAGCAGCCUUCCCCAACCUAGUUCUCACCUACUGUUAUUGAACUACAGCUCCCAUCACACCUGACCAUUAGCCAUGCUGGCUGGGGCUGAUGGGAGUUGUAGUCCAGAAUAUUUGGAGGAGGCUGUGGUACAGGAACUAGGAUCAGACUAGACCUUCCCAUCUGGCUCUGUUAACAGACAGCUCUCUCGUCUUUUCUGCAUAGCAUCCAUUGCCCCCACACAGAUGAAGAGCUCCUCCCUGUGAGCAGCAACAGGAAACCCUCCUUGCCUCCCAUGCGGGAACCAAAACACACAGGGAGCAAGUGGUGCAUUUCAAAAGGAGGGACUCUGCCAAGGCUUCUGUUGCUGUUCCCAUUGCAGUUAAGGAAGAAAGUUAAAGAGCUCCUUUGCCUAUGGCCUUGACUCUCACUGGAGUAGAUAAGGAGGUGAAGGCAAUGCUGUUGGCCCUUCAGCACUUGGCCAUCCCAUUAAAAAUAAGUUGUCAGGCAGAGCAGCAAAGGGAGGAGACCGUUUUAGGCUUCCUGCUCUAGUCAGGUGGCAAUUUGGUGUUUACAAGAGAGCAAAGAAUAUUGAAGAAGGGGGUGCACAGUUUAGUGUGUGCCUUUUGCAGAAGCUACCAAAAGGAAGAUCUUGGGGAGGGGUUGUUCUAGGGCUGCACUUCCCCUCUGGCCACAGUCCUUGGCCCCUUUACCAGUCAACAAGCUAGUAAGCCAGGACCCCUUUGUUGCAUUGCAAGUUAAAAGGAAGUCUCUGACCACACACACACACAAACCAGUGUGGGAUUUUUUUUUAAGCAUUUACUUUUGCUUUUAUCUUCUUUCAGUAUUUGUGAUUGUUGUUUACAAUAUUGUGAGAUGUUCUUCCAUUUUAAAAAAUACUGGGGAGCCCCAGCUCAAAUUUUGAACAGUUCAAAAUGGGAUGUUCUGUUUGAAGAAGGAAGCAUGAUGUGUACAGUGACGACAAAUACAUUGAAGAGUCUGACUUGGUUGUGGCUAGUGAUCAGAAUUAACACUUGUUCAUUAGUUCUACAACUCUUGUCUCAAAAAGAAAAUCUAAGCAAUGCUUUCCUCUUCCUUUUAAAACAAAACCAGCCAUGUUUUACAUGAGUGUUAUUUUCCUUCUGUCAACAUUUGGUCCAGUUAUGUCUGGCGAGAUCUUUUAAAGUGUGUUAAUCUACGUGACAGCUAGCCCAUUUGGUUUAUCCUUUGAAUUUCUAAAGUUAAAAAAAAAAGAUUAUUUAUAUGCUGAAUUUUUUUUGUAUAGAAAACUGGGGAGGGGAAAGUUGGUUAGAACAGUCUUUACUUAACCACUGAGUGUUCUAGUCUAUUUUGCUGCUUGUGUUAUCAAACCCUUCCUUUCCUCCAAUGUAUAUAUAAUUAUGGACUACAAAAAAGAAAAAAAGGCAUAUCACAUGCCUAGUAGAAGGAAUAAGCUUAUUUAUAUGAUAGUGUUAAACAAAGUCUGAUGUAUUCAAGUGAUUUUUGUUAUACUGCAUGCAACCCCACAAGUGUAACACAUUCCAUUGGAGAAAAGAUGCCAUGUCUUUAGGUUCUUAAGAAAGUGGUGUUUGUCAUUUCUUUUCCUGUUUUCUUCCUAUCUGUUGUAUGUUUUCCACAUACAAUCAGGCAACUCCAACAAUGCAGAAGAACAUAUCUCUCUUUGACUCAGAAGGAGGUAAAGAAAUUGCAUUAGCAAUGGUUUUAGGAGUCUUUAAGAGGACACGGUGGCGCUGUGGUCUUAAACCACAGAGCCUAGGACUUGCCGAUCAGAAGGUUGGCGGGUCGAAUCCCCGCGACAGGGUGAGCCCCCGUUGUUCGGUCCCAGCUCCUGUCCACCUAGCAGUUCGAAAGCACGUCAAAGUGCAAGUAGAUAAAUAGGUACCACUCUGGCGGGAAGGUAAACAGCAUUUCGUGCGUUGCUCUGGUUCGCCAGAAGCGGCUUAGUCAUGCUGGCCACAUGGCCCGGAAGCUGUCUGAGGACAAACACCAGCUCCCUUGGCCUAUAGAGCAAGAUGAGCGUGCAACCCCAGAGUCGUCAGCGACUGGACCUAACGGUCACGGGUACCUUUACCUUUAAGCAACACUCCUCCCAAUACCCCCUCCCUUCGGCAAUCCGUUUUGUUCAGGAGAGAGUCAUGGAUGUGUUGGCUACAAGAUUUUGUUGGAUUAGUCCAAGCAUUAGCAGUGUGUUUUGGGGUGGUGUUAAUCUAACCUUUAAGAUGUUUUUUUUUUCCUGGAUAAGCACCUUUUAAAUCAUUUUAUAGGGGAUUAUAUGUAUGUGGUUAGGGGUAAAGGGUAGAAAUCAACUCAAGGUUGUGCAAGGAGAAUGCCUCUCAAGGCUGGUUUUGUGUAGGUGCAAAAUGGCAGUGGUAUGAUGUGAAUGGUUAAAUUUGCUCUUGACCAAAAGUAGCCAACACACAGGACAGUUGCCUAGUUCUCAUUGUGGUGGUAGUGAGCUUGCUUUUGAGGUGCAUUGUUUUAGAUUGCCAGUUGGGGGUUCAAAUGCCUGAAAGCUCUUCCAUAAGAUAAAAAAAAAAUUCCCUCGAACCUUGGCAGGUAGCAUGCUGGGGAAAAGAAGGCUAUGCUGGAACCAUAAAGUUGCCAGAAGAGCCCUGCUGAAUCAGACCAAAGGCCAGUCUAGUCCUACAUUCCAUUUCCCAUUGUGACACCCGCCUCCCCUAAUUGCCUUUGAUAAGUCCACAAGCAGGGCAGCUAUGCACCAUCUAGGAAGAAAAACCACAUUACAAAAAGAUCACGAGGUGUCCUGAACCCCUGGCCGGCAAGUCAGUAUGUCAAAUCCCCAGUCCAGUUUUAAUCCACAUGCCCAGUGUCCCACAGAGAUCCUGGUGCAUCCAAGUCAAGGUCCAUCAACAUGGGUAGUUGAGCAGGAACCUCAGUUCUGCCCUUUUUCACUGCCUGCUGAUUGCAGCAUCUGGGCUUGAUGAGCCAUGUGACCCUCACCUGUUCCAAGCCUACUCCAGCUGAGGAAUCACAAAUCUAAAACUAGUUAGCCUCACCUGGCCAGCUAAGGAGCUGGGCUGUCGGCCCUUGCCUACCUCAGCCUCCUGGAACACAUCACCCACUGCUCCCUACACUUCAAAGCCCACCAUUUCAUGGAGACAGGGGUCACUCUGGCUCUGUUGAUGAGUCCUGCUGCUCUGGUUCCUGUGCACUGACCCCCAUCCCUUCAUCAUCCUCCAUUACCCUGUGAGUACUUCCUACACCAAUCUUCUCCUUCCCCAUUCCCAGCUUGCCCCAGUGUGUCCCAGUCCCGGCUACACCCCUCGCCAGGAUCCUCUUCCUCCUCCCUGUUGACUUGCUUGUUUAUGACACGGUGCAGAUUUGCACAAAAUGUGCAUAUGUCACAUGUCCAGAUGCAAAUAUUGAAAAAUUCAAAUAGGAAUGAAAUGGUAGAAAGACUGGCCAGGUGAUCUGUAUUCUCUCUAGGGACAGAGGUAGAGAUUUGUUUGGGUUCACAUUUAAAGGCAAAGUGAAAUGCUUACAUCCUUCGAAAUGCACACUCCUCUGAUUUUGCUUUGCAGUUUUCCACCCACAUAAUGUGUACAAAAAUGCACGUGCUUGGAUAAAGUGUGUGUAUGUGUGUUAAUAAGAAUUACAUACAAAAAUGCAUUAUAUUGGGGGAAAUUGUUUUGCACAAUUGUGCACAUUAGGGGAAACUGCAUACAAUAAUGUGUAUGUUAGGGGAAAUUCGUUUUAAGGCCAUGAGGACUUAAAAAAAAAAUCUGGUAUGGAAAUAUGAAGAAAUGGACUUAAGAACUGAAAAAUGAGAAACUGAAAUGGGCAGAUUCACCCAUACCUAGUGCCUGCUCAGACUGCAGUCCAAGUGUUGAUGAGCAGCUUCAAGGCCCCUGUACUCCGUGAUUUAUCUUUACCCAGGACUUUGACCAGAAAACUCUUCAAAUACAUGACAGUUUCAAACAGAGAACUGCUCUCUAUAAAGGAGGACACACAACCAUCCCAGUAAUAUCCCCAUUGCUACAAGCGCCAAGCAAAUAAUAUUCAAUAGCCUAUUACCUGUGGGUUACAUAGAGUUAUGGGUGUCACCACUGUGGGCUUCCUGGUUCCAUGAUAGGGCCUUUUCAGUGGAAUGCCCUCCUGAGUGACAUGCAUCUGUCUCCCUCAUUGCUGACUUUCAGGAGAAAUCUAAAAACAUUCCUUUUUACCCAGGCAUUUGAUAGCAGACACUGUUCCUGACUGCCCCCAAGAUCACUGGUUGCUAAUGUUCUUUAACUAUUUAAAAUGUUUUUAAUGCUUUAUCACUGCUGUGUUUGCCACCGUGGGUUCCUUCAAGAGGAAGGGCAGAAUAUAAACCAAUAAAUUAUUAUUAAUAUUUUAAAACCUCAAUUUACGCUGUUAGUCACCUUUCUGCUAAACUAAAACAUAACAAACAAGAGCCUGCUGGGUCAGGCCAUUGGCUUAUCUAGUCCAGCACCCUGUUCUCACAGUGGCCUGUGGGAAACUCACAGGUGGGACCCCUCCAGUGAUUUCCAGCAACUGGUAUUCAGAAGCAUUGCUGCAUCUAACAAUGGAGGUAAAAAAACUUACAAAUUGCGACUUUUCCUCUGUUGGGCAAUUGCUCCACCCCCCUGACCAUUUCGGAUGACUUUUCCCACAGUUAGGCGUCUCCCUGACCUGCUAAUAUGUUCAUGUGUCUAAAGGGACUUUUUUUGUAUGUGAGCCUCCACCUGUGGAUUGAAGUGGUACAUCCCAGACCAGCAAUUGUAGUUAGGUAAUUUUAAGACUGGAUUUAAUGAUCUUACCAGGGGAGUGGGGAUGAAACUGUGUAUUGCAUCACUUACUUAAACCAACCCCGCUGCAUUUGAGGGUCAUGCAGAGUGGGGGCCCCAAAUACCAAUCCUCAUGACACCACUGGUUCAGACACAGGUUUUACCACCCAACUGGGAACUAAAGCUUUCCUUCUUUUGGAUCAACUCAGUCAGGACAUUGAACCUGCAAGCUUCCAAUGGCACUGUAAGUUUUUCUGUCAGAAAAGAUGGCAGCAAAAUGGCUCCCAGGAACAGAAGGAGGGGGAGAAGGUUCGCCUUUUUUCCAAUCAAUGGGUGUUUUGUUCUUGAUCUCUGUAGAGCUAAUCUUUCAAAGAAUCUAAGGUGAAUACUGAAGGAAAUUAAACAGGGUGUCUUAUGUGGGGGUUGGCUGGUUGAGAUGUUUUGUUCACUUUCCAAAAUGCAAACUAUAUCAUGCUGAGAUUUUGUGAAAUGCAAAUGAACUUUAGUAACAUGGCAUCAAUGUGCUUUUUAAACAAACAAACAAAAACAAACUUAUAUCAGUUAUGUAGAAACAUACAGUAUUUAAAUACUGUCUUGCAUUUGUAUUAAUGUGCAUUAAUUGUGAAUAACUGAACAUGUCAUGUAGCACAGUUUAUGUUUUGGGUUAUUUUUUAUUCACAGAACUCUUAAGCCUCCAUAACAUUUUUGUAAAAAAGGAAAAAGGAAAAAAAAGUUUGCUUUUCAGUAUUUUGUAUAGUUAAUAUAGAUGGUUUUGACUAAAUGCUUUAUUUAUUUAAUAGCAAAACUGUGCCAAGAGAAACCCGUUAAUUAAAAAUUUUACUAGUU